AGAGACAGCAGUAGCCGCGGGAAUACGUAGGUGGCAAGCGUUGUCCGGAAUUAUUGGGCGUAAAGGGCUCGCAGGCGGUUUCUUAAGUCUGAUGUGAAAGCCCCCGGCUCAACCGGGGAGGGUCAUUGGAAACUGGGAAACUUGAGUGCAGAAGAGGAGAGUGGAAUUCCACGUGUAGCGGUGAAAUGCGUAGAGAUGUGGAGGAACACCAGUGGCGAAGGCGACUCUCUGGUCCGUAACUGACGCUGAGGAGCGAAAGCGUGGGGAGCGAACAGGAUUAGAUACCCCUGUAGUCCCUGUCUCUUAUAC
rnacentral:rRNA from 1 species